GCCCCUGGUGGUCUAGUGGUUAGGGUGCAGCACUUUCACUGCUGCGACCCGGGUUCGAUUCCCGGCCCCCCGGGCA